CCUCAGUGCCACAGCCCUCAACAACUAGCCCUGAAACAACAGUUGUAACUUCAACAUCAACCGUUGAGACGGAGACAACAGUGACUACAUCAGUAACAACAGAAGGUACUACAGCCAAACCCACUGAAACUUCCACAUCCGAGGUUUCAACAGCUGCGACUGUAUCAACAACAAAGCCACUUAAAGAAGAAACCACUGGCUCAACAACUGCUGCUACAACAGCUGUAGUUGAAACAACCACCUCAGUGCCACAGCCCUCAACAACUAACCCUGAAACAACAGUUGUAACUUCAACACCAACCGUUGAGACGGAGACAACAGUGACUACAGUGACUACAUCAGAAACAACAGAAGGUACUACAGAAAAACCCACUGAAACUACAACCUCCGAGGUUUCAACAGCUGCGACUGUAUCAACAACAAAGCCACUUAAAGAAGAAACCACUGGCACAACAACUGCUGCUACAACAGCUGUAGUUGAAACCACCACCUCAGUGCCAAAGCCCUCAACAACUAGCCCUGAAACAACAGUUGUAACUUCAACACCAACCGUUGAGACAGUGACAACAGUGACCACAGUGACUACAACAGAAGGUACUACAGCCAAACCCACUGAAACUUCCACAUCCGAGGUUUCAACAGCUGCGACUGUAUCAACAACAAAGCCACUUAAAGAAGAAACCACUGGCACAACAACUGCUGCUACAACAGCUGUAGUUGAAACAACCACCUCAGUGCCACAGCCCUCAACAACUAGCCCUGAAACAACAGUUGUAACUUCAACAUCAACCGUUGAGACGGAGACAACAGUGACUACAGUGACUACAUCAGUAACAACAGAAGGUACUACAGAAAAACCCACUGAAACUACAACCUCCGAGGUCUCAACAGCUGCGACUGUAUCAACAACAAAGCCACUUAAAGAAGAAACCACUGGCACAACAACUGCUGCUACAACAGCUGU
ensembl:lncRNA